GGGAUCCGGGCGGAGCCGCAGGAGGAGGCGGGUGGUUCCUGCUAAAGAAGCCAGUUUUCUUGAAAAAAAGAAACGUGCGGGGAAACGUAUCCGACAGCAAAGAACUUACCAAGGACUAUGAACGUCUUGCUAACAUAGAAGCGAAACUGAAGCGGUUCUCAUUGCCAAAAAAGAAGAUUUGAGCAUGAAUAAGAACAGGAAUUCGAGUGAAUUUAAAAUCCUCAGAUGCUCCAGUCUGUAAUUCAUAAUAAUGUAUUUUUUAACUCUGUUCACCUUUGGAGGAUGCUGGUAAGCUCACCCCAGUUUGUGGCCUGGUUAAUAAAAGGAAAGCAUCAAGCAUUUGUCCUGCCUUUAUGAAAUUUACAGCAGAGUAACCAAAUACUGCAUGAGAAGAAUUUCUCAUUAUAGAAGUUUUCCCGCUAAUAAAUGAAGAAGAAACAGUAGGAUUAAAACAUCACCCUAUGAAUUAACGGACCUAGGCAAUGUCAUCAAUGACUGCUAAUUAACAUCGCAAAAAGGUCAGUUAGAUAUCAGAAGUACACAACACUAUGAAGUAGUCUUGCCAGAAAAAAUUUAACCUGAAUGUGAACAAGCUUCUAGAGUGAAUUACUGGAAAUGUGGAAGACAAGACUGUACUAAAGGAUUCUACAAGGAUACAGUCAGCAAUUCGAAACCUCAACCAUCUGAAUGGACCCUUCCGCUUGGCCAAGAGCAUUCCCAAGUUAUCCUGAAAAACUAGCUCAGGCAGUGAUGGGAAGGGGGAGACAGACAUACCUCACUCCCUCCUCCCUUUUGGAAUUCAGGCACACAGCUGACCAGCAUUCACAUUAAAACAGAUCUUGAGGUGGCCAGGUGCGGUGGCUCACGCCUGUAAUCCCAGCACUUUGGGAGGCCAAGGUGGGCAGAUCACGAGGUCAGGAGAUUGAGACCAUCCUGGCUAACACAGUGAAACCUCAUCUCUACUAAAAACACAAAAAAAUUAGCUGGGCGUGGUGGCGGGUGCUCAUAGUCCCAGCUACUCGGGAGGCUGAGGCAGGAGAAUGGCGUGAACCCGGGAGGCAGAGCUUGCAGUGAGCCGAGAUCGUGCCACUGCUCUCCAGCCUGGGCAACAGAGUGAGACUCCAUCUCAAUAAAAAAUAACAAAACAAAACAAAAACAGAUCUUGAAGUUGACAAAGUAGACUCUGUAGCAAUGACGCCAAAUUCCAGCCUGACUCUGGUAUAGGACUACAUGACAGAUAGGAAGCCUUGGAAGAAAUGGAAGUACUUUACCCCACAUUAAAUUUCUUCGACUUAUUUUGAAA
ensembl:lncRNA novel transcript